UGGGGAAUUUUGGACAAUGGGGGAAACCCUGAUCCAGCCAUCCCGCGUGUGCGAUGAAGGCCUUCGGGUUGUAAAGCACUUUUGGCAGGAAAGAAACGUCAUGGGUUAAUACCCCGUGAAACUGACGGUACCUGCAGAAUAAGCACCGGCUAACUACGUGCCAGCACCCGCGGUAAUACGUAGGGUGCAAGCGUUAAUCGGAAUUACUGGGCGUAAAGCGUGCGCAGGCGGUUCGGAAAGAAAGAUGUGAAAUCCCAGAGCUCAACUUUGGAACUGCAUUUUUAACUACCGGGCUAGAGUGUGUCAGAGGGAGGUGGAAUUCCGCGUGUAGCAGUGAAAUGCGUAGAUAUGCGGAGGAACACCGAUGGCGAAGGCAGCCUCCUGGGAUAACACUGACGCUCAUGCACGAAAGCGUGGGGAGCAAACAGG
rnacentral:rRNA from 1 species